rnacentral:rRNA from 1 species
CGAAGGGGCUAGCGUUGCUCGGAAUCAUUGGGCGUAAAGGGCGCGUAGGCGGCUCGGCUAGUCGGGCGUGAAAACCCCCGGGCUCAACCCGGGGACGGCGUUUGAUACGGCCGGGCUAGAGGGUGGAAGAGGGCCGCGGAAUUCCCAGUGUAGAGGUGAAAUUCGUAGAUAUUGGGAAGAACACCGGUGGCGAAGGCGGCGGCCUGGUCCAUUACUGACGCUGAGGCGCGACAGCGUGGGGAGCAAACAGGAUU